GAGCAGUGGCAGACGGGUGAGUAAUGCAUGGGAAUCUACCGUGUCUCUACGGAAUAACUCAGGGAAACUUGUGCUAAUACCGUAUACGCCCUUUUGGGGAAAGAUUUAUCGGAGAAUGAUGAGCCCAUGUUGGAUUAGCUAGUUGGUAGGGUAAAGGCCUACCAAGGCGACGAUCCAUAGCUGGUCUGAGAGGAUGAUCAGCCACACUGGGACUGAGACACGGCCCAGACUCCUACGGGAGGCAGCAGUGGGGAAUAUUGGACAAUGGGCGCAAGCCUGAUCCAGCCAUGCCGCGUGAGUGAUGAAGGCCCUAGGGUUGUAAAGCUCUUUCACCGGUGAAGAUAAUGACGGUAACCGGAGAAGAAGCCCCGGCUAACUUCGUGCCAGCAGCCGCGGUAAUACGAAGGGGGCUAGCGUUGUUCGGAUUUACUGGNCGUAAAGCGCACGUAGGCGGACUUUUAAGUCAGGGGUGAAAUCCCGGGCCUCAACCCCGGAACUGCCUNUGAUACUGGAAGUCUUGAGUAUGGAAGACGCCAGUGGAAUUGCUANUGUAUAGGUGAAAUUCANAANUAUUCGCAGGAACACCAGUGGCGAAGGCGGCUUACUGGUCCAUUACUGACACUGAGGUGCGAAAGCCGCUUUCGCAACUAGUGUUCCAUCCCCUGGUAGUCCA
rnacentral:rRNA from 1 species